CUAUGCCCUAGAGCUAGUGGAAGACCUAAGAUGGCGGCGUUUGCGCGGGGUGUAACCACUGCGUCCUUACGGGGGUUGCAAGGCGUCCGAAGUAUGAGUCCACUAACAAAAGUCCAGAAACUCGCCAGUUAAUAGUAUUGUGUCUCUUCAAAAUAUCGGAAAAUAAUUUCUUUCUCGCUGAUCGCCUAACUUCUACUGACGAGGCUAGGAAGUUGCAGAAGAUGGAGUUCACUCUUGUUGCCCAGGCUGGAAUGCAAUGGCAUGACCUUGGCUCACUGCAACCUCUGCCUCCCCAGUUCAAGUGGUUCUCCUGCCUCAGCCUCCCGAGUAGCUGGGAUUAGAGGUACUGGCUCCUGUAUCACCCAGCUCUGGAGUUGAAAGAGCUCUUCAUUCCUGAGUCUCCUGUACCACUGAGAAUAGAAAUACAAAAAAAUUCUAAAACUUGUAUGGAACUACAAAAGACAUUAAAUAAUUAAAGUAAUCUUGAGCAACAAGGACACA
rnacentral:lncRNA from 1 species